GGUUAUUAGCGCCGGGGGUGGCGGUGGGGGGCAAGGACUCAUCUAGCAUGUGUUGAAGUGCUAACUCUAUUGAAUGCAUAAUGCUCAUAGGCAUCAUGAUCAGGUUCAGCCUAGGUCUAAUUUCUAAUUGGAAUGGUCCUUUCCAUCUCUAAUUGCUUUGAAAAGAUUGAUUAAUUUUUAGCUGUAAAAGAAUAUUUUUGCUGAGGAGUGUUUGCAUUUUUAAUGUUAUUUAAGACCAUUUGAGCUGUUUCUGCUCGAGAGAUUUCUUCUGAUCAGUGUAUAAUGGAAUGAA
rnacentral:misc_RNA from 1 species